AAAGCGGACCAGGCAACCGCUGCCAUGCGUACGCGUGGGAGAGGAAAGUCCGGGCUCCACAGAGCAGGAUGCCGGCUAACGGCCGGACGCCGCGAGGCGAGGAACAGGGCCACAGAGACGAGCGUAUUCAGUUACGGUGAAACGCGGUAACCUCCAUCCGGAGCAACACCAAAUAGGCAGACGAUGACGCGGCUCGCCGAGUCUGCGGGUAGGUGGCUUGAGCGGGUCAGCAAUGGCCCGCCUAGAGGAAUGGUUGCCCACGACAGAACCCGGCUUAUCGGCCCGCUUUCCCA
rfam:Thiobacillus denitrificans ATCC 25259, complete genome.